rnacentral:rRNA from 1 species
UACAGAGGUCCCGAGCGUUGUUCGGAUUCAUUGGGCGUAAAGGGUGCGUAGGCGGCGGGGCAAGUCUGAUGUGAAAUCCCGGGGCUCAACCCCGGAACUGCAUUGGAUACUGCCUUGCUCGAGUACUGGAGAGGGAACUGGAAUUUACGGUGUAGCAGUGAAAUGCGUAGAGAUCGUAAGGAAGGCCAGUGGCGAAGGCGAGUUCCUGGACAGUUACUGCCGCUGAGGCACGAAGGCCAGGGGAGCAAACGGG